UACGGAGGGAGCUAGCGUUGUUCGGAAUUACUGGGCGCAAAGCGCACGUAGGCGGCUUUGUAAGUUAGAGGUGAAAGCCCGGGGCUCAACCCCGGAAUUGCCUUUAAGACUGCAUCGCUUGAAUCCGGGAGAGGUGAGUGGAAUUCCGAGUGUAGAGGUGAAAUUCGUAGAUAUUCGGAAGAACACCAGUGGCGAAGGCGGCUCACUGGACCGGUAUUGACGCUGAGGUGCGAAAGCGUGGGGAGCAAACAGG
rnacentral:rRNA from 1 species